UACGGAGUUACAAAGGACGACAUUAGACGAAUCAUCUGGAAAGAUGAAUCAAAGAAGGUAAUAAUCCUGUAGUCGAAAAUGUUGUCUCUCUUGAGUGGAUCCUGAGUACGACGGAGCACGUGAAAUUCCGUCGGAAUCUGGGAGGACCAUCUCCUAAGGCUAAAUACUCUCUAGUGACCGAUAGUGAACCAGUACCGUGAGGGAAAGGUGAAAAGCACCCCGGAAGGGGAGUGAAAUAGAACCUGAAACCGUGUGCUUACAAGUAGUCAGAGCCCGUUAAUGGGUGAUGGCGUGCCUUUUGUAGAAUGAACCGGCGAGUUACGAUUUGAUGCAAGGUUAAGCAGUAAAUGUGGAGCCGUAGCGAAAGCGAGUCUGAAUAGGGCGUUUAGUAUUUGGUCGUAGACCCGAAACCAGGUGAUCUACCCUUGGUCAGGUUGAAGUUCAGGUAACACUGAAUGGAGGACCGAACCGACUUACGUUGAAAAGUGAGCGGAUGAACUGAGGGUAGCGGAGAAAUUCCAAUCGAACCUGGAGAUAGCUGGUUCUCUCCGAAAUAGCUUUAGGGCUAGCCUCAAGUGAUGAUUAUUGGAGGUAGAGCACUGUUUGGACGAGGGGCCCCUCUCGGGUUACCGAAUUCAGACAAACUCCGAAUGCCAAUUAAUUUAACUUGGGAGUCAGAACAUGGGUGAUAAGGUCCGUGUUCGAAAGGGAAACAGCCCAGACCACCAGCUAAGGUCCCAAAAUAUAUGUUAAGUGGAAAAGGAUGUGGCGUUGCCCAGACAACUAGGAUGUUGGCUUAGAAGCAGCCAUCAUUUAAAGAGUGCGUAAUAGCUCACUAGUCGAGUGACACUGCGCCGAAAAUGUACCGGGGCUAAACAUAUUACCGAAGCUGUGGAUUGUCCUUUGGACAAUGGUAGGAGAGCGUUCUAAGGGCGUUGAAGCAUGAUCGUAAGGACAUGUGGAGCGCUUAGAAGUGAGAAUGCCGGUGUGAGUAGCGAAAGACGGGUGAGAAUCCCGUCCACCGAUUGACUAAGGUUUCCAGAGGAAGGCUCGUCCGCUCUGGGUUAGUCGGGUCCUAAGCUGAGGCCGACAGGCGUAGGCGAUGGAUAACAGGUUGAUAUUCCUGUACCACCUAUAAUCGUUUUAAUCGAUGGGGGGACGCAGUAGGAUAGGCGAAGCGUGCGAUUGGAUUGCACGUCUAAGCAGUAAGGCUGAGUAUUAGGCAAAUCCGGUACUCGUUAAGGCUGAGCUGUGAUGGGGAGAAGACAUUGAGUCUUCGAGUCGUUGAUUUCACACUGCCGAGAAAAGCCUCUAGAUAGAAAAUAGGUGCCCGUACCGCAAACCGACACAGGUAGUCAAGAUGAGAAUUCUAAGGUGAGCGAGCGAACUCUCGUUAAGGAACUCGGCAAAAUGACCCCGUAACUUCGGGAGAAGGGGUGCUCUUUAGGGUUAACGCCCAGAAGAGCCGCAGUGAAUAGGCCCAAGCGACUGUUUAUCAAAAACACAGGUCUCUGCUAAACCGUAAGGUGAUGUAUAGGGGCUGACGCCUGCCCGGUGCUGGAAGGUUAAGAGGAGUGGUUAGCUUCUGCGAAGCUACGAAUCGAAGCCCCAGUAAACGGCGGCCGUAACUAUAACGGUCCUAAGGUAGCGAAAUUCCUUGUCGGGUAAGUUCCGACCCGCACGAAAGGCGUAACGAUUUGGGCACUGUCUCAACGAGAGACUCGGUGAAAUCAUAGUACCUGUGAAGAUGCAGGUUACCCGCGACAGGACGGAAAGACCCCGUGGAGCUUUACUGUAGCCUGAUAUUGAAAUUCGGCACAGCUUGUACAGGAUAGGUAGGAGCCUUUGAAACGUGAGCGCUAGCUUACGUGGAGGCGCUGGUGGGAUACUACCCUAGCUGUGUUGGCUUUCUAACCCGCACCACUUAUCGUGGUGGGAGACAGUGUCAGGCGGGCAGUUUGACUGGGGCGGUCGCCUCCUAAAAGGUAACGGAGGCGCUCAAAGGUUCCCUCAGAAUGGUUGGAAAUCAUUCAUAGAGUGUAAAGGCAUAAGGGAGCUUGACUGCGAGACCUACAAGUCGAGCAGGGUCGAAAGACGGACUUAGUGAUCCGGUGGUUCCGCAUGGAAGGGCCAUCGCUCAACGGAUAAAAGCUACCCCGGGGAUAACAGGCUUAUCUCCCCCAAGAGUUCACAUCGACGGGGAGGUUUGGCACCUCGAUGUCGGCUCAUCGCAUCCUGGGGCUGUAGUCGGUCCCAAGGGUUGGGCUGUUCGCCCAUUAAAGCGGUACGCGAGCUGGGUUCAGAACGUCGUGAGACAGUUCGGUCCCUAUCCGUCGUGGGCGUAGGAAAUUUGAGAGGAGCUGUCCUUAGUACGAGAGGACCGGGAUGGACAUACCUCUGGUGUACCAGUUGUCGUGCCAACGGCAUAGCUGGGUAGCUAUGUGUGGACGGGAUAAGUGCUGAAAGCAUCUAAGCAUGAAGCCCCC
rnacentral:rRNA from 1 species